GAUCAGAUGAACUUUCCCCAAUUGCCUCUCCAGGGAAACUAAGCAAGGAAAACGGUUCCUGUAGAAAAGUGUGCAAGAUACUCAGGUGCCCAUGCAGAAACCAGGAGCAGUAAGAUAGACUUAGCAGUCUCAAAGGUCUCCUGGGACAUGUGCCGCGUGCUUGCCCACCAGCGAAAGCAACCAGGAUAAGCAACCAACCAGCCAACAAAAGCCCAUCAAGCAGAAGUUCAGCAUCGCAUCUGAGCCACGGUGCCUUGCUCCCGCUCUCAAACGUACGUGCCAUGAGCUGUCUUUCUCCGAUUCCUUCGUGCGGGGAUGGACAAGCUCUUGACUGCCAGAAGCCACACUUAACGUGGGGGUAUUAGGGAGAAGGUUGCAUUUUCUGGUAUUGUUGGCUGCCCCCCUCCCCGGUCUUGGAUUCAUGUAUGCUUAACCACGUGAAACAGAUUCUGGAGCACACGCCACAGCUUUUCUGUUUCUUACUUAAAGUAUGGGGCAGGGGGGUAGAGAGAACCAUGCACUGAUUUUUGGGUACUGAGGUCUUAUUUUAAGUUGAGUUGUAGAAUGGAAUCUUGUCCCUUCGCUGAUUUUUCCCAGGCAGGACACGUAUGUUAAAAAUGCAACUCUUUAUUAGAUCCUAGCUGAACACCGUAUCUUUGAUAGAUACUUCAAAUGCUGAGCGAAUUAAGCCCAAGUCUGGCAUCUUAAAGUGUCCCCCUGAAAUACUUUAAUGCAAGAACAUUAAGCACAUGCCUCUAAAAGCCAUAAAAAGUAACUGGAAACGUUGAAGCAGGGAUAACUCAGCCAAAAUUGACUUUACGGGGAGCUAACCUAUGCGUAAGACUCUCAGACACAAAUUAAGGAGAAACAGCAGUGCUCAAAAAAUUGGAAGGGAUUAUGCCUUUGAGUCUCCUUUCCACUUCAUAGAGGAAAAUAUGAAAUCAUGCAAACUUUUUACAAAACACUGAUUUCUUAAGCUUGUGCUUUCAGUAGUAUGUUUAGACGUAUCACAAAAACAGAGCACUGCCCCGUUCGGUACUGUCUCAAGCACCACACCCGAGUAGGAGGACUUAACUUUUAAAAGUAGUGUUACUACCUUGUAAAGGUUAGCAAGUAGGAACCCCAAGAAAAGGCUCCUAUGAAGGCAGAAUGACAUUUCGAGGGGGAAAAAAGACACUUCGUUCCACUGCAAAGUGAAACAAACCAUUUAUUUGUGCUAAAUGAAUUGAAAGAAUGUAUUCCAGAAUACAUUUCUUUAUACAUUGUACCGGCUUAUGCUGCUAAAUACGCAUUUGCUAUUGUCACCUAACUUUCUCUUGAUCCUUUUCUACCAAGCAAUACAACAGUUUUGGCUGUUUAUCAUAUGCUGCUAUGAAUAUGCACCUCCCAUCUGAUUUUUCUUCCCAAAGCCUAACGUCAUGGUUUAAACUUUCAGAGAGGAGGGGCCACACCAUUAAAAUAUUUUAAACAAGGGGGAAACCAGGCUUUUUUGCUUUUCAUACAAACUGCUUUCCUACAGCAGAAAGUCAGAGAACAGGCUGUAGACGGCCCCAAGCAUCGUAAUGAAGCAGCGGGAUGGGAAGGGAGGAAGGAGGGAGGGAAGGUCGGACCAGGGAAUCAUACGUCCUACAGGCUCUGACGCUCCAGACAGUACCAACACACUGGACAAAAGGGGCCAAUUGCUCAUGUAUGCUUUACUUGGGGUCUGGAAAUUAAGGGACACAAUUAGAGAAGUGAGGUUGGGCUUUUGCUUUCUCACUAAAAGCUGUCCUGAAAUGUGGAGCUGAUUUGCUGAAUAUGCUGGAAACACUCUGUCAUAUCUGGGAGCUUGUAAUAUACAGCCCAUGCCUUAGUUUUAUAAUGCAAGACGUUGUGAAGAACUACAGAGAACUACCCCUUUUUA